rfam:Felis catus isolate Cinnamon breed Abyssinian chromosome B4, whole genome shotgun sequence.
GCCUGGGUGGCUCAGUCAAUUGAGUGUCUGACUUCAGCUCAGGUCAUGAUCUCACAGCUUGUGAGUUCGAGCCCCACAUCAGGCU